rnacentral:rRNA from 1 species
UACAGAGGGGGCAAGCGUUGUUCGGAAUUACUGGGCGUAAAGGGCGCGUAGGCGGCCUGCUAAGUCGAACGUGAAAUCCCCGAGCUCAACUCGGGAACUGCGUCCGAUACUGGCAGGCUUGAAUCCGGGAGAGGGAUGCGGAAUUCCAGGUGUAGCGGUGAAAUGCGUAGAUAUCUGGAGGAACACCGGUGGCGAAGGCGGCAUCCUGGACCAUGACUGACGCUGAGGAGCGAAAGCCAGGGGAGCAAACAGG